UACGGAGGGUGCAAGCGUUAUCCGGAAUUACUGGGCGUAAAGCGCACGUAGGCGGCUUUCUAAGUCGGGGGGUGAAAUCCUGGAGCUCAACUCCAGAACUGCCUUCGAUACUGGAGAGCUCGAGUCCGGGAGAGGUGAGUGGAACUGCGAGUGUAGAGGUGAAAUUCGUAGAUAUUCGCAAGAACACCAGUGGCGAAGGCGGCCAACUGGUCCGGUUCUGACGCUGAGGCGCGAAAAGCGUGGGGGAGCAAACAGG
rnacentral:rRNA from 1 species